rnacentral:rRNA from 1 species
GUGGGGAAUUUUGGACAAUGGGCGCAAGCCUGAUCCAGCCAUGCCGCGUGCAGGAUGAAGGCCUUCGGGUUGUAAACUGCUUUUGUACGGAACGAAAAGACUUCUUCUAAUACAGGAGGUCCAUGACGGUACCGUAAGAAUAAGCACCGGCUAACUACGUGCCAGCAGCCGCGGUAAUACGUAGGGUGCAAGCGUUAAUCGGAAUUACUGGGCGUAAAGCGUGCGCAGGCGGCUUUGUAAGACGGAUGUGAAAGCCCCGGGCUCAACCUGGGAAGUGCAUUCGUGACUGCAAGGCUAGAGGGUGUCAGAGGGAGGUGGAAUUCCGCGUGUAGCAGUGAAAUGCGUAGAGAUGCGGAGGAACACCGAUGGCGAAGGCAGCCUCCUGGGAUAACACUGACGCUCAGUCACGAAAGCGUGGGGAGCAAACAGGAUUAGAAACCCUGGUAGUCC